rnacentral:rRNA from 1 species
CCUACGGGAGGCAGCAGUGGGGAAUCUUGCACAAUGGGCGCAAGCCUGAUGCAGCGAUGCCGCGUGAGGGAUGAAGGCCUUCGGGUCGUAAACCUCUUUCAGUAGGGAAGAAGCCACCCAUCAAGGUGGUGACGGUACCUGCAGAAGAAGCCCCGGCUAACUACGUGCCAGCAGCCGCGGUAAU